GCCAGUCUCUAGAAAGGUGUCUGUCCCAUGGUACACAUUCAGUAAGUGUUUAUGGUUAAAAUGAAUGAGCAAAUCUAAGCGCAAUCCCAUGGUUAAGCUAAUUUGAUUAGACCACACUGAAUUGCCAAUGCAUUAUACAGCAGGGUGAACCAAUUUUUUUUUUUUUUUUUUUUAAGAGACAGCGUCUCACAAUGUUACCUGGGCUGGACUUGAACUCCUGGACUCAAGCAUUCCUCCAGCCUCAGCCUCCUGAGUAGCUGGGACUACAGGCAAGAGUCCCCCGUACCCGGAACAGUAUUCCAGUUAGGAUAACUGGAACGGAGAAACCUUUAGGGCGCCUCUUACGCCAAGGAGGACACGAUGUGGUGAGUCACCUGCUGGUGGGAGGAAGGCGCUCCGCUCCUUGCUGACCACUCUUACCACUGUGCCUCUUGGUGAUUUGGUCUUGGGGACUGCACACUGCCAGCAACAAUCUGCAACAAAUCGUCUUGGUGCCUCAGUCAAGACAGGACAUGCUCCACUUUAAUUAGAAAUUUGCUGUGUUACUGUUUUAAGGUCAAAUGUCAUUUAUGAUUACAAUACUGUGUCUCUUUCUACUCCAAACUGGUAUCAGGUUUUAUCUUCAACUUCAGUCAGAAGAUGAAUUUAGAGCCCAGGUGUACCUGUUCUUGGGUUUAACAUCUGCUAACAUCCAAGCUUCAUUUGGAAAUGCAAGGAGAUUCUGAACAGACUCUGCUAAGUCUGUGAUGCGGCAGAAGCAGGCGUGUUGUCAAGUGGUAGUUUCCUGUCGGUGGCAUGUGGGGGGGCGGUUUAUGAGCCAUCUGUGCACAUUUGCCAAAUCACUGAAAUACCACCGCUAACCUCGGCUCACUCCUGCCCAGACCCCUUUCACAUGAAACCACUCGGUGACUUGGAGGAAUCAGAGUGUAGACCUGGCUUCAACUCUUUACCCUCUCAUCUGCUUCCAAGACCGAAUCCGGGUCAUGGUUCAACUUGAUGUCUUCAGAGUUGGCCAGGAAAGUCCCAGAUGCCUCCUAACUGGGUUGCCUUCACUUUCUUAAAACAGGAGAAGAGAAUAUCCUCUUAACGGGAUUUAAGAAGGCAGUCAAAUUUAGCAGUGGAAGAUUGUAUACCAACUUUAGUGACACUAAUGCGAAUCAAUCCUGAUAACUCAGUACCAGCCAAGAAGUUCUGAGGAUGAA
rnacentral:lncRNA from 1 species